UGACAUCUAUCUGUUCUAUGUUAUGUUGU
rnacentral:piRNA from 1 species